ACGGGAGGCAGCAGUGAGGAAUAUUGGUCAUUGGGCGGAAGCCUGAACCAGCCAAGUCGCGUGAAGGAUGAAGGUAUUAUGUAUUGUAAACUUCUUUAGUCGCAGAGAAAUAAGGAUCUCGAGAGAUCUGAUGCUAGUAUGCGAAGAAUAAGGAUCGGCUAACUCCGUGCCAGCAGCCGCGGUAAUACGGAGGAUCCGAGCGUUAUCCGGAUUUAUUGGGUUUAAAGGGUGCGCAGGCGGUCUUUUAAGUCAGUGGUCAAACCGCGGAGCUCAACUCCGUCCCGCCAUUGAUACUGGGAGACUUGAUUGCGGUCGAGGUUGGCGGAAUUCGUCGUGUAGCGGUGAAAUGCAUAGAUAUGACGAAGAACACCGAUUGCGUAGGCAGCUGACCAGGCCGUAAAUGACGCUCAUGCACGAAAGUGCGGGGAUCGAACAGGAUUAGAUACCCUGGUA
rnacentral:rRNA from 1 species